UCGAGAAUCUUCGGCAAUGGGCGCAAGCCUGACCGAGCGAUGCCGCGUGCGGGAUGAAGGCCUUCGGGUUGUAAACCGCUGUCAGAGGGGAUGAAAUACGUCGGGGGUUCUCCCCCGGGUUUGACAUAUCCUCAGAGGAAGGACGGGCUAAGUUCGUGCCAGCAGCCGCGGUAAGACGAACCGUCCAAACGUUAUUCGGAAUUACUGGGCUUAAAGGGUGCGUAGGCGGUCUGGAAAGUUGGGUGUGAAAUACCUCGGCUCAACCGAGGAAUAGCGCUCAAAACUACCAGACUUGAGGGAGAUAGAGGUGAGCGGAACUUAAGGUGGAGCGGUGAAAUGCGUUGAUAUCUUAAGGAACACCUGUGGCGAAAGCGGCUCACUGGAUCUUUUCUGACGCUGAGGCACGAAAGCUAGGGGAGCAAACGGGAUUAGAUACCCCGGUAGUCCUAGCCGUAAACGAUGAGCACUGGGUUGGAGGCCCCUCCAUAGGCUUCCGGCCGAAGCGAAAGUG
rnacentral:rRNA from 1 species